rnacentral:rRNA from 1 species
CCUACGGGAGGCAGCAGUGAGGAAUCUUGGUCAAUGGGCGGAAGCCUGAACCAGCCAAGUAGCGUGCAGGAUGACGGCCCUACGGGUUGUAAACUGCUGUUAUACGGGAAUAACGCGCCUUACGUGUAGUGCUUUGCAUGUACCGUAUGAAUAAGGACCGGCUAAUUCCGUGCCAGCAGCCGCGGUAAUACGGAAGGUCCGGGCGUUGUCCGGAUGUAUUGGGUUUAAAGGGAGCGUAGGCCGCAUGUCAAGCGUGCUGUGAAAGGUCCGGGCUCAACCCGGGCCUUGCAGCGCGAACUGGCGUGCUGGAGUCAGCGGAAAGCAGGCGGAAUUCGUGGUGUAGCAGUGAAAUGCUUAGAUAUGACGAAGAACCCCGAUUGCGAAGGCAGCUUGCUGCAGCGGAACUGACGCUGAUGCUCGAAAGCGCGGGUAUCGAACAGGAUUAGAUACCCUAGUAGUC